rnacentral:rRNA from 1 species
GAUGAACGCUGGCGGCGUGCCUAAUACAUGCAAGUCGAGCGAACGGACGAGAAGCUUGCUUCUCUGAUGUUAGCGGCGGACGGGUGAGUAACACGUGGAUAACCUACCUAUAAGACUGGGAUAACUUCGGGAAACCGGAGCUAAUACCGGAUAAUAUUUUGAACCGCAUGGUUCAAAAGUGAAAGACGGUCUUGCUGUCACUUAUAGAUGGAUCCGCGCUGCAUUAGCUAGUUGGUAAGGUAACGGCUUACCAAGGCAACGAUGCAUAGCCGACCUGAGAGGGUGAUCGGCCACACUGGAACUGAGACAAGGUCCAGACUCCUACGGGAGGCAGCAGUAGGGAAUCUUCCGCAAUGGGCGAAAGCCUGACGGAGCAACGCCGCGUGAGUGAUGAAGGUCUUCGGUUCGUAAAACUCUGUUAUUAGGGAAGAACAUAUGUGUAAGUAACUGUGCACAUCUUGACGGUACCUAAUCAGAAAGCCACGGCUAACUACGUG